AUACGUAGGGGGCAAGCGUUGUCCGGAAUUAUUGGGCGUAAAGGGUGCGUAGGCGGCCUUUUAAGUCAGAUGUGAAAGACCACGGCUUAACCGUGGGGUUGCAUUUGAAACUGGAGGGCUUGAGUAUCGGAGAGGGUAGUGGAAUUCCCAGUGUAGCGGUGGAAUGCGUAGAUAUUGGGAGGAACACCAGUGGCGAAGGCGACUACCUGGACGAAAACUGACGCUGAUGCACGAAAGCUAGGGGAGCAAACAGGAUUAGAUACCCUGGUAGUCCUAGCCGUAAACGAUGGGUACUAGGUGUAGGGGGUUUCGAUACCUUCUGUGCCGCAGUUAACGCAAUAAGUACCCCGCCUGGGGAGUACGUGCGCAAGCAUGAA
rnacentral:rRNA from 1 species